UCUUCGGAGAGUUUGAUCCUGGCUCAGGACGAACGCUGGCGGCGUGCCUAAUACAUGCAAGUCGAGCGAAUCGACGGGAGCUUGCUCCCUGAGAUUAGCGGCGGACGGGUGAGUAACACGUGGGCAACCUGCCUAUAAGACUGGGAUAACUUCGGGAAACCGGAGCUAAUACCGGAUACGUUCUUUUCUCGCAUGAGAGAAGAUGGAAAGACGGUUUACGCUGUCACUUAUAGAUGGGCCCGCGGCGCAUUAGCUAGUUGGUGAGGUAAUGGCUCACCAAGGCGACGAUGCGUAGCCGACCUGAGAGGGUGAUCGGCCACACUGGGA
rnacentral:rRNA from 1 species